rnacentral:rRNA from 1 species
GACAGAGGGUGCAAACGUUGUUCGGAAUUACUGGGCGUAAAGCGCGUGUAGGCGGCUAAGUAAGUCGGGCGUGAAAUCCCACGGCUCAACCGUGGAAGUGCACUCGAAACUGCGUAGCUAGAGUCCUGGAGAGGAAGGUGGAAUGCUUGGUGUAGAGGUGAAAUUCGUAGAUAUCAAGCGGAACACCGGUGGCGAAGGCG